AAAUUGAAGAGUUUGAUCAUGGCUCAGAUUGAACGCUGGCGGCAGGCCUAACACAUGCAAGUCGAACGGUAACAGGAAGCAGCUUGCUGCUUUGCUGACGAGUGGCGGACGGGUGAGUAAUGUCUGGGAAACUGCCCGAUGGAGGGGGAUAACUACUGGAAACGGUGGCUAAUACCGCAUAACGUCGCAAGACCAAAGAGGGGGACCUUCGGGCCUCUUGCCAUCAGAUGUGCCCAGAUGGGAUUAGCUUGUUGGUGAGGUAACGGCUCACCAAGGCGACGAUCCCUAGCUGGUCUGAGAGGAUGACCAGCCACACUGGAACUGAGACACGGUCCAGACUCCUACGGGAGGCAGCAGUGGGGAAUAUUGCA
rnacentral:rRNA from 1 species